ensembl:misc_RNA Metazoa_SRP Metazoan signal recognition particle RNA
UUUAUGUUAUGUGAAUUUCACCUCAAUUAACAAACAUUUUUAAAAAAUAUAUCUGUGCUUGAGCCCAGGAGUUCUGAGCUAUAACACAUUAUGCCUAUAUAGGCAUAAUAUAUGCCUAUAUUAUGCCUAAAUUUGGCAUCAAUAUCAUGACCUCUUGAGAGCAGAGGACCACCUGGUUGCCUAAGGAGGGGUGAGCUGGCCCAGGUCAGAAACAGAGCAGGUCAAAACUCCCCUGCUGAUCAAUAGUGAGACUGCGCUUGUGAAUAACCACUGCACUCCAGCCUGGGCAAUUCAGCACGAC